AUUGAACGCUGGCGGAAUGCUUAACACAUGCAAGUCGAGCGAGCUGUAGCAAUACAGCUAGCGGCGGACGGGUGAGGAAUACAUAGGAAUCUGCCUCAGAGCGGGGGAUAGCCCGGGGAAACUCGGAGUAAUACCGCAUGAUGUCGCAAGACCAAAGUGGGGGACCGCAAGGCCCCACACUCUGAGAUGAGCCUAUGUCUGAUUAGCUAGUUGGCGGGGUAAUGGCCCACCAAGGCGACGAUCAGUAGCUGGUCGGAGAGGACGAUCAGCCACACCGGAACUGAGACACGGUCCGGACUCCUACGGGAGGCAGCAGUGGGGAAUAUUGGACAAUGGGCGCAAGCCUGAUCCAGCAAUUCCGCGUGGGUGAAGAAGGCCUUCGGGUUGUAAAGCCCUUUAAGUUGGGACAAAAAAAUCGGCGAUAACAUCGCCGGUCUUGAUGGUACCGACAGAAUAAGCAACGGCUAACUCCGUGCCAGCAGCCGCCGUAA
rnacentral:rRNA from 1 species